rnacentral:rRNA from 1 species
GAGUUUNGAUCCUGGCUCAGGACGAACGCUGGCGGCGUGCUUAACACAUGCAAGUCGAACGAUGAAGCCUUUCGGGGUGGAUUAGUGGCGAACGGGUGAGUAACACGUGGGCAAUCUGCCCUUCACUCUGGGACAAGCCCUGGAAACGGGGUCUAAUACCGGAUAACACUCUGUCCCGCAUGGGACGGGGUUAAAAGCUCCGGCGGUGAAGGAUGAGCCCGCGGCCUAUCAGCUUGUUGGUGGGGUAAUGGCCGACGGGUAGCCGGCCUGAGAGGGCGACCGGCCACACUGGGACUGAGACACGGCCCAGACUCCUACGGGAGGCAGCAGUGGGGAAUAUUGCACAAUGGGCGAAAGCCUGAUGCAGCGACGCCGCGUGAGGGAUGACGGCCUUCGGGUUGUAAACCUCUUUCAGCAGGGAAGAAGCGAAAGUGACGGUACCUGCAGAAGAAGCGCCGGCUAACUACGUGCCAGCAGCCGCGGUAAUACGUAGGGCGCAAGCGUUGUCCGGAAUUAUUGGGCGUAAAGAGCUCGUAGGCGGCUUGUCACGUCGGAUGUGAAAGCCCGGGGCUUAACCCCGGGUCUGCAUUCGAUACGGGCUAGCUAGAGUGUGGUAGGGGAGAUCGGAAUUCCUGGUGUAGCGGUGAAAUGCGCAGAUAUCAGGAGGAACACCGGUGGCGAAGGCGGAUNUCUGGGCCAUUA